rnacentral:rRNA from 1 species
CGGGGUGAGUAACGCGUGGAUAACCUGCCUCACACUGGGGGAUAACAGUUAGAAAUGGCUGCUAAUGCCGCAUAAGCGCACAGUACCGCAUGGUACGGUGUGAAAAACCCAGGUGGUGUGAGAUGGAUCCGCGUCUGAUUAGCCAGUUGGCGGGGUAACGGCCCACCAAAGCGACGAUCAGUAGCCGACCUGAGAGGGUGACCGGCCACAUUGGGACUGAGACACGGCCCAA